rnacentral:rRNA from 1 species
GAUGAACGCUGGCGGCGUGCCUAAUACAUGCAAGUCGAGCGAACAGACGAGGAGCUUGCUCCUCUGACGUUAGCGGCGGACGGGUGAGUAACACGUGGAUAACCUACCUAUAAGACUGGGAUAACUUCGGGAAACCGGAGCUAAUACCGGAUAAUAUAUUGAACCGCAUGGUUCAAUAGUGAAAGACGGUUUUGCUGUCACUUAUAGAUGGAUCCGCGCCGCAUUAGCUAGUUGGUAAGGUAACGGCUUACCAAGGCAACGAUGCGUAGCCGACCUGAGAGGGUGAUCGGCCACACUGGAACUGAGACACGGUCCAGACUCCGACGGGAGGCAGCAGUAGGGAAUCUUCCGCAAUGGGCGAAAGCCUGACGGAGCAACGCAGCGUGAGUGAUGAAGGUCUUCGGAUCGUAAAACUCUGUUAUUAGGGAAGAACAAAUGUGUAAGUAACUAUGCACGUCUUGACGGUACCUAAUCAGAAAGCCACGGCUAACUACGUG